AUAAAGGUGUGCUUAAAAUGAUUAACUUAUAAUACUUAGAAAAUCUUUUUAUUAAAUUUUUCAUAUUUUUAAAAUGAUUACAGAUUCACAGGAGGUUUUCCAAAGAAAUGAAUAGGAAGGUCUUCUGAACUCUUCCCCCCAGCCUCUCCCAGUGUUAACAUUGAAUGAUAAUCUUUUUCCACAGUGAUAGAUAGCUGGUCACUGAUGGUCAUGCGGAAACCUGAGCAAACAUCUUUCGUUAAAGGAUACUCUUAGGGAAGAAAGCCUAAUGGUGGCCAGCAAGGGAGGGGCACAUUGAGGU
rnacentral:lncRNA from 13 species